UAUGCUACCCUGGUUCUGCCAUUUAGUGAUGGUGUGUGGUGAGUGUUAUCUCAGAAAAGUUUAAGAGAAUGGGAAUUCUACAGGAGAUAACUGAAGAGAUACGACAAACGACUGUACAAGGAAAGCUACAGGAGUGAACAGGAGAUUUUCACUACGGAUUGCUACAAGAGUGAACCGAGGAGGUUGAGAAAGUAUAUUACAUGAGUGAACAGAUUUUGAAAACUACAUGGAAUGCUAAAGGAGUGAACAGAAGGUAUUUUGAAGACUAGGAAUGCUAGAGUGAAUCCUUUAAAUGCCUACAAGGAAUACUACAGGAGAGAAGUGAUGAGAUCUUGACUACAAGGAUUACUACAGGAGUGAACCGAGGUGGAAGAAGGGAUCCUGUUUAAGUGAACUGAGGAUAUGACAAAAUUAUCCAUUAAGAAUACAAUACUGUUCUAUAUACUGUUGGAUGAAAAAUUAUAAUAGUCAGUUUAUAUAUUUAUAUACUAAAAAAUAUAUAAUAUCCUUCAUGUAAUGAAUGAUAUCUAUAAAAUUAAGCUUUAUUUCUUACUAAUUCUGAGCUGCCCCUCUCUUCUGAACAGGUUAUUUUCUCCAUCACUGCACUCUAAUUUCCAUUGACACUUUUAGCAUUAGCAUCCUUUAGUCUCCUCACUGCACCUCUUAAUUACCGCAGUUAUGCUGCAUCUCCUAAUUGCCGCUGUUACGUUGCAGACCUUUACCAUUUCAAUUUACUCCGUCCUCUCUUCAUAUCCUAGCUGCACACUUCCGAAUAGUCGCCUUUUUUAAAUAUACUCCAUCCUCGCUUCCCUCUAUCUUGCCGUCCGCUCGCUCACUUCAUUCCCUAAUGGGCGGAAGUGCCCUAAGGCUUUGGCUACAGCCAUACGUCGAGUCUGUUCUCCCAAGAGCCGCACUCUAUUUUUGGCCUUUAAAUUGCUUUCCUCAUUUAUCUUGCUGUCGGCUUACUAACUUCAGUCCCGAAUGGCUGGAAGUGCCCUAGUGUUUGGCCUUAUGCAGCCAAAUGUUCAUAUACCCAUCCGCUCAUGAAUGGGAUGUUACGGGAGCUUCCAGUUAGCAGAGUUCAUAUUUUCUGGGACGAGAUCUAUAAUCUAAUCCAUAUCUGCACCACGCAAGUCACUCCUGAAAGAAGUAUUUCAUUAAUAUCAAAGGGAUUGUUGUGUACUAUUCUUUAAUACAAUUUUUAGGUAAUAAAUUUAAUUCCGAAUCAUUCACUCAAUAGAAAAGGCUCCAUCUUAGACAACCCUAAGCUAUAAACUAAUAAGAAAAAAUUCUGUAGCAAAACAUUUUCAUCAGUUCACAACGGUCUAUGUCAUAACCAAGGAUAUUAGAUAAUUAAAAUUCACCAAUUAUUUAAGGAAAACCAGGAGUUAAUUUCACAUUAACUAAUAAAGGAAAAUCAGGAAUUAGUUUCACAACAAAAUUGAAUACACAGGAAGCCUACAGUAGCCUAACCAACCUGCCCCUAAGGUGUGUUUUUACUCAGCAAUGAUAAACAGCCUAACAAGGUUUUAAAACACACUAGUGGUUUACUUAGCAAUGGAAAACAGCCUAACAAGGUGGUUUUAAACACAGUAAAACUUAGAGUAAAAAAAAAAAAAAAAAAAAAAAAAAAAAA